AGCGGCGAGCGAAGCGGGAAGAGCUCAAAUUUAUAAUCUGGCACCUUCGGUGUCCGAGUUGUAAUCUCUAGAAAUGUUUUCCGCGUUGGACCGCACACAAGUCUGUUGGAAUACAGCGGCAUAGUGGUGAGACCCCCGUAUAUGGUGCGGACGCCCAGCGCUUUGUGAUACAUUUUCGAAGAGUCGAGUUGUUUGGGAAUGCAGCUCAAAUUGGGUGGUAAAUUCCAUCUAAAGCUAAAUAUUGGCGAGAGACCGAUAGCGAACAAGUACCGUGAGGGAAAGAUGAAAAGCACUUUGGAAAGAGAGUUAACAGUACGUGAAAUUGUUGGAAGGGAAACGCUUGAAGUCAGACUUGCUUGCCGAGCAAUCGGUUUGCAGGCCAGCAUCAGUUUUCCGGGAUGGAUAAUGGUAGAGAGAAGGUAGCAGUUUCGGCUGUGUUAUAGCUCUCUGCUGGAUACAUCUUGGGGGACUGAGGAACGCAGUGUGCCUUUGGCGGGGGUUUCGACCUCUUCACACUUAGGAUGCUGGUGGAAUGGCUUUAAACGACCCGUCUUGAAACACGGACCAAGGAGUCUAACAUGCUUGCGAGUAUUUGGGUGUCAAACCCGGAUGCGUAAUGAAAGUGAAUGGAGGUGGGAACCGCAAGGUGCACCAUCGACCGAUCUGGAUUUUUAAUGAUGGAUUUGAGUAAGAGCACGUAUGUUGGGACCCGAAAGAUGGUGAACUAUGCCUGAAUAGGGCGAAGCCAGAGGAAACUCUGGUGGAGGCUCGUAGCGGUUCUGACGUGCAAAUCGAUCGUCAAAUUUGGGUAUAGGGGCGAAAGACUAAUCGAACCAUCUAGUAGCUGG
rnacentral:rRNA from 1 species